CACUCGCCGCCGGCAUUGCCUACCAGGCCAUGUCACGCUGGCACUUCCCUGCCGGAGUGCCGGGCCUGGACGUCAAGGCGGAGAACGGCGUCCUCCAUCUCGGAUGGAAAGGGCGCAUGGUGGCCGUCGCCUCCGCCUUUGAUUAAUCUGGGGGCCGUCCUCGGCCGAGCGCAUAGCCGUCGCACGGAAGGGAGACGAGGCUACAUCGUCCGGGAGAGAAUAGGCUUGGCCGGGAUGCCCACUUUUUGUUCGACGGAAUGCCGGCCUCACCAACGCCAUGCCGGGCGAUCGACCGUUUACGCAUCGCAUCCUACUCCAUCAGAAUCCUCUAAACACACUGUAUACCGAAGUUAUGACGUUAUCCAAGCAACCCAC
rnacentral:rRNA from 1 species